CUGAAUGAGAAAUGAAGGACUGGGCAAGAAAAGCUCGUAGAGAACUUUGAAAUUCUGUCCCUUGCAAUGUGUAGUGGGAAUUUUCAAUAAUAACUUCCAGAAUGGCAUUAUUUUCGAGUUGGAGUUGACACCAAGUUUUUGUGAUAUUGGGAGUUUGGAUAGAAUACAAUGCUGAAUACAUGAGUGAAUAUGAAAUGUGCCCCUUUCUUUUAUCUAUCUACAGGUUUCCCCUUUGUAUUACUUUUUCCAAUUAAAUGUGAGGGGCUGCAUUAUUUUCCCAGCAACACAAGUAUUCACAUAACUUUUCUGGUAUGGAUUCUGAGGUCCUCUGCCUUACAGGUCUGGGUCAAAUCUUCAAAAAUAUUCUUCCUGACCAAAAUUCCGGGUUCAAAAAGUGUUGAGUGGCUUGACAAGAUCCUCAAGUGAGAAUAGUAAACAGAUGUAUCUCCUAGACCACAAAUCAGAAUCCCACUUGGCACCCUUUACCCAGCUAUCUUAGAAAUUUAGUGUGAAUUUAAGUAUGUUUGAAUAGGAAAUUCCAAACGUAAGGAUUUGAAUUUUUGAGUUUUAGUUUAGACUGCAUACAUCAGCAUCUCGACUUAGGAUGGAUGAGAAGGAAAAUACAUUUCAUCCAAAUUUUAAAAGUUUAUUUGAAAUGACACCUAUCUUUUGAGUUUUUAGAUGAAACUGUAUACAUCAAUAUUUAGAUUUUGGAUGGAUGAGAAGAAAAGCAUACUUCAUCCAAAAAAG
rnacentral:misc_RNA from 1 species